rnacentral:misc_RNA from 1 species
UCCCGGUUGGCCCGGGCAGUAUCGCGUGAAAAAUACAACACACGACAAGGGUUGCGCUCGUUGCGGGACUUAACCCAACAUCUCACGACACGAGCUGAGGACGGCCAUGCAGCACCUGUCACCUGAUUCCUUGCGGCACCCCCGAUUUUCAUCGGGGUUCCAGGGAUGUCAAGCCUCGGUAAGGUUCUUCGUGUACCAUCGAAUUAAACCACAUCAUCCACUGCUUGUGCGGCUCCCCGUCAAUUCCUUUGAGUUUUAAGCUUGCGCUCGUACUCCCCAGGCGGGAUGCUUAACGCGUUAGCUUCUCAGCCCAGAGGGUCGAUACUCCAAACUGAUAGCAUCCAUCGUUUACGGCGUGGAUUAC